GGUGAGCUUGGAAGCUGCCUGGCUGAAGUGCACAAUGAAUGUGAACUGAAGACACUGUUAGAGAAACAAGGGUCGGGCAAACAGUCAGGGGCUAGAUGUCAGGGAGCCUGGACAGGACCGGGUGUCAGGCCGCUUAGGCAACUGCAACUCCAGUUCUAUGUGGCCAGAUGCUUCUAAAUCUCCUAUAUAACUGACCUCUGUUGAAGCAGACCAGGAAGGGAGUAUAUACGAGGAACAAGAGUUUAAGGGAGGAAGCUGGGGCAUGUCUGUUAAAUCAGAACCCAGGGAGAAGUCUGGGCAGCACACAGCCAGGGGCAAAGAGACUCCUGGGAAGACUGUGUUGAAGAACUUCAAGUCUGACCGACCCCACCCCCAUUCCUCAAAAGUAAGGUGGAGCGAACACCCCUCCUCUACAGUCAGCUGCCGAUAGCACCUCAGGAUGCAGUUUUCCAUGAUAAUUUUGAACGUUGAAAAUUAAAAAUGGAGAAAAAAAAAAAAGCAAAGGCCCAGCAAGGUUUAGGAAGGUGCCCGGUGCUUGAUAGCACCUCCCCCAUGCACAGUAACCACAACACAUAUGCACAUACAUGUAACAUGUGCGCGUGCACACACACACACACAGAGGAAGGGAGGGUGAGGAAGAGAAGGAGAGAGGAAGAGGGGGAGAGAGAGAGAGAGAGAGAGAGAGAGAGAGAGAGAGAGAGAGAUCUAAGUGACACACAGGAGACUCCACAGGUACAGGAAAUGAGGAUGCUGGAGAGCCAUCCUCAAUAGGAAAAUGAAGGGAGACAUUGAGUUGAUUUUUCUCUGAAUCAUAUUAAAAGAUUGUGAUUCAAUUUGAAAAUUUUGGGCAAAAUUAGCCAUUUCAUAGAAAGCUCAGCAAAACAAACACCACCACGGAAACCCCGUUUAAUCAUUAAAUCUAUCAAGAACAAAAUAGUCGCACAAGAAAUGUAGUAACUAUAUACUGCUUUGAAUGAUGUGUUUACGCGGGUGAACUCGAGAUAAAAAGCCUUCCUCAGUCAUCCUUUAAGUGUCGACUUAUCCGACAGCAAUUAAGACUGAGGACAGAGGAUGUGGGGCGGUUAUAUAAUUGAGUUUGUGGUUUCUUGCUAACCCUAAGAUUCAUCUUGACUUUUUUUUUCUUUUUUCUCUUUUUCGGAGCUGGGGACCGAACCCAGGACCAUGCACUUGUUAGGCAAGCGCUCUACCACUGAGCUAAAUCCCCAAACCCUCAUCUUGACUUUUUAAUUGUUCCCAUUAUGAUGCGUCUUGCCAUGCUUGUCAUCCAAAAGUCGUUUCUGUCGCAGGUGCAAGUGUCUGUAAACUAACCAUCUAAACUUAAGGAAUGGCUGCUGCUGACUCAGUGGGAAGCCCAAGAGAGCAGUGACUCAGUUUUAAAAGUUUUCAGGGCUUUUGAUGGCAGACAAAUGCUCUUCAGAAACACAGGAUGCACACAACUGGAGUGAGAAGAACACAGGAGAAGGACUCUGUUUGGUUUGCAAAGUCACAGAAAUCGGAGAUCUUUGGAUACGACUGAUCAUUUCUGCAGCAAAAGAAGCCUCAGGCAGUGUCCAAGGCUGUGGGCUCACUGCUCGGCAUCCCUGCAUCUGUCUGGUGACAUAAGUGACAAGAGAAUCGCCUCUCAUCUGGAAAGUUCUAUAGAAGAAAACUGGGAAGAUGUGAUGACUUGAGAUUCCCACAGAAGACGAUGAUGAACAUCAUUGGCAAGCAGGGCUGGGGAAAUGGCUCUGUCAGUAAAAGGCUUUCUUUGCAAGCAGAAGGACUUGAGCUCUAUCCCCAUGUUAAGACACCUGGUGUAGCUGUGCCUGCUGCUCAUCUCUUGUGACAGGCCUGGGGGUUAGGAAGUUCCCUAGGGCUCGAUGUCCAGACAGUCUAACCUACUUGGCAAACUAUGCCAAUGAAGACCCUAUCUCAAAACCAACCACCCAACAACAACCAGGAUGCCUUAGGAACUACGCUUGAGCUUCUAUGUGUUCAUGCGUACACAUAAGUGCACAUUCAUGAACAUGCAUACACAUGAUAUUUGGAAAAUAAGAAAACAGAUGAGUAAGGGUUAAAUAAAUGUAAGAAUA